CCGGCGCGGUGUGAUGUAAUCUCGUGGGCGGGGCGAAGCCUAGGUAGGCGAGGCCUGCGGGGCGCUGUUGCAGUACGAGGAGCGAGGCGGCGUCGGCCAGGAACACUCAACUGGUAAGGGAAGAAUGCCUCAGAUGAGCAUGCAUAAAAUUUCAGUAAACACACUGUGCAUGUGGCCCCUCCCAAGUGCUUGCAGGCUACUGAGCAUGUGGACCGCCCACCCCAAGGGAAGAAUCAGGGGAGAAGAGAUGCAAGAUCUCAGAAACAUGCCAAUGUAUAAGACCCCAAGUUGAAGGUCAGAUCGCGCACUUGAAUCUCUCAAGUUGCCCUCAUGGUCCUCUUCCAAGUAUACUUUACUUCCUUUCAUUCCUGCUCUAGAACUUUUUAACAAUAAACUUUCAUUCCUGCUCUAAAACUUGCCUUGGUGUGUCAAGAAUUCAGGUCGGUGCAGACCCAUACAGAUUCACCACUGCUAACAACUUCAGGCUGACACAGAAAGGAGGAGCUUUUCCCAGAUCGGCAACCUCUGGAACUGUAUGCGGUACCCACCUGAGUCCAUUGCGCUCUCAGCUUCCAUGAGUAAUCUUUCUUCUGUGUGGUUUACUUCUGUCUUGGAUUCAAACUCCCUCCUUUUGGUUGAACUCUCUGACUUUAUUCGGGAUUUGUUUCUGUUGACACCACGUCCUUUCUUGUGUGUUCUGCACUGGAACAGCCUAUGCAAACCUACCUGCAAAAGGCCGGGGGAGCUGAGAGGCUGAAGAAAGAGGCUGACAAAUCUGAAAUCUCAGGAAAAAAAUUUGAUAGAGACUUAUGGACAAAAGCCAUGACUCAGGCAGCCUGCAGAUGGUGGAUCCCUGCACUGUUACCCCCCAGACUCAGGCCUUUAUAAGGAAGGAAUAUGUAGAGCAGUUGAAGUCAACCCUGCAGGGAAAGAUAAGAAUUUUCCAAAAGGCAGGAUUUAUGGUCACAUUUAUGAUAAUGUGAAGAGACUGUUUUGACCUAUAGCAGGAUAUGCAGUGAGUCCACACUCCUACAAGUCCCAGAACUGGGGUUAAUCAGAAGUGAGCAUGGAAGACUGGCAUCCAAGAUGGAGUUGCUUUAGCUCCACAUGGAUGAUCACGGUGAAUAUCCUACACCCACUUGCUUUGAGGUUGGGAAAGCAGUUGCUUGGCCUUCAGCCACUCGAGCCCAGCAGGUGGAGCUAUUUGCCCUCACUGGAGCCUGCCUUCUCACUAAGGGAAAAUCUGCUAAUCUUUGUACAGAUAGCAGGCCAAGAAUAAAAUAAAGGAGAACGCAGCACACCAUUCUCACCGGUCAAGUGGUCGAACCCAACAUCCAAGACCCAGCGAGCAGCCAAGAUCAGUGCAACCUCCCGACCUCUGGCUCUGACUCCAACAGGGUGAGCACAGAGCCCUCGCACAUGGAGCCUUUUACGUUGUGGAUGAUGGAGCAGCUCGUAUCCUCCAUAAAUUCCAUGCGCAUCUGCGUGCACUGUCCCUUAGAGCCAGCUCUGCCCAGAACCUUGGUGACCCUGGCCAGCUUGAUAGGCUGCACGUGGCUGGUGUCCAUGAUGGCAGUGCGGUGGCAGUUGGGUUAAGAUAACACUUACAUUUGCUGGUUUAUUAAAAAGGGUAUUUUUAAGGAUACAAAUCAACAGCGAGAUGAAGAGACGCAUAAGGUGAGGUCUGGAAGGGUCCUAAGCACAGGAGCUUCUGUCCUCAUGGAGUUAGGGUGCAACAUCCUCCCAGCCUGUGGAUGAGUUCUUCUUCACCUUUCUCUCAGCCUUCACAUGUUCAGCUCUCUGGAUGCCCCCCAAACCCUGCCCUGUGGGCCUUCUAUACUUUAUUGGUUGUCCAUGAUAGAAGCAUGGACAACUGUGUCAAAACAUGAUUGAAUUAAAAAAAAAAAGUCUGAUCUAAACCUAGCAAGACAUCUCCACGUCCUUCCUCCAGAGUAUGGGGAAGGGCCCUUUCUAGAAUGAGGGUCUUUUGAUCCACAAUCAGAUUAAAGUCCUGCCUUGGGCAAAUGAAAGAGAAGGGCAGAGAUAUUCUGUCUCCUGAGACCCAAAACACCCAACAUUAUAACAAAAGACUGUAACAAUGGUUCUUAGAACUAUGACCUAGGAACUGUGGACAAAGGACCUAGGAACUGUGGACAACAUCUGUAUAUCAGGACACCACAGAUGGAAAAGACUGUGACAAGUACAGGUUUCUGAUGAUUUUAAGAUCAUACCAUUGGGCUGGGUAGGAAUUUCUAGAACUCUAAGGGAAAAACUAGACUCACCAAAUUACUAACCCAACAUCAAGCAGGACAAAAAUUAAUCACAUGAGACUAAAUGGACUGACGAAUUAUGGGUUUCUAUGUCUUUUUAAAAUUCAAAAAUAUUGCUGGUUCUUUUGUUUUUCAGAUUUAAGGAAACAUUUUCUUUUAGGCUAUCUAUAGCUUAAGGCAAUUUGGUAACUUAUACCUUUGUGAACAAAAAUGGAGACAUUUGCUUUUUUCUCCCUACCUGAUCCUUCCAGAAUUUAGAAACUACUCAUGAGGAUUCUUAUUUUUAUGACAUAAUAAUUAUUUACAUAUGUUCAAUAGAAUCUGCUGUUGGCUGGGCAUCUCAGUCUCCCAAAAGUGAGGGAUUAAUCCCAACACUUUGGGAGGCUGAGAUGGGAGGGAAGAUCACUUGAGGCUAGAAGGUUAAGGCUCUAGGGAGCUAUUAUUGCACCACUGUGCUCCAGCCUGGGCAACAGAGUGAGGCCCUGACAGAAGAAGAGGAAGAAAGAAGAAAGAAGAGGAAGAAGGAGGAGGAGAAUCUUCCCUCUUUAUAACAGGACACAAUUGGAAAUAUUGGAUAUAUUAUGACUGGGAUAUCGAAAUUGAGACUGUAGAUAGAGACUUUGCCUGCAGUACUUACAGACACAUUCUGUCUACACUGGCUUCCUAGCGUUGAAAGAUUUUUAAAAGUUCAUUCUGAGAUUCCUGAUCUAAAGUUCCAGCCAAGCAAACUUCAAAAGAGCCUAUGUGGUUGAUUGCUAUUCUCACUGAACUUCUCUAAAUAAGCGGAGCAAUUUGAUGAGGCUAAACAUUUUGCAAACAAAUUAGUCUUACUCUGAUUAUCUCUGGUAGAAAUGAGGGGCAACUGUAAAGAGAAAAUGUAUGUUUCAGAAGAAAGAACAUUAUAGUACACUUGUUAUUAGAUUGUA